ACUACGGGUGGCAGCAGUGAGGAAUAUUGGUCAAUGGGCGUGAGCCUGAACCAGCCAAGUCGCGUGAGGGAUGAAGGUACUGUGGAUCGUAAACCUCUUUUGUAAGGGAAUAAAGGGCGGGACUUGUCCCGGUAUGUAUGUACCUUAUGAAUAAGCAUCGGCUAACUCCGUGCCAGCAGCCGCGGUAAUACGGAGGAUCCGAGCGUUAUCCGGAUUUAUUGGGUUUAAAGGGUGCGUAGGCGGCCUUUUAAGUCAGCGGUGAAAGUCUGUGGCUCAACCCGAGAAGUGCGGUUGAACCUGGGGGGCUGGAGUAUGGUUGAGGCAGGCGGAAGGCGUGGUGUAGCGGUGAAAUGCUGAGAUAUCACGCAGAACCCCGAGUGCGAAGGCAGCCUGCCAAGCCAUGACUGACGCUGAUGCACGAAAGCGUGGGGAUCAAACAGGAUUAGAUACCCGAGUAGUC
rnacentral:rRNA from 1 species